CGAUGAUAACCGUUUCAAGACUUCGAUCGAAGAGAAAGUUUGAAUCGUUCCGUGCUUAAACGUUGCAUUGACGAAUAGCGAGUUGGCAAAAGCAAUCGCCUCUUAUGUGUGCGUGCUCAUGCGAUGAUUGGUCAAACAAAUGGAUUAAUAACGAAAAGAGCUUCUUCGGUAUACGUAUGCUCUCGAUAACCUUUUGAACAUUAAUCUCUUUACAUCCCGAUCUAAGUAUGAAACAAGCAAAUCGUAUGCGCGAACCACGUCCUUUCGAAUAAAAGCGACAAAAGGGUGUCGGCUAAGCGGUCAGCCUAGCCACACACACUGGUUAAUGUGUAGACAUUUGGUGUUCACGGCUGUAUCAGAGCAAAGAAUGAAUAUUCAACGGUAAACAGCGGGCAGCAGCGGUUUGCAAAGGGUUGUACGCGGAGAUAGAGAAGGGAUAGGAGGCAAGGUGGUUCCUGGUUUGGCCAGCAGGGGAGAUCUGCCGUGACUUGUGCAGAUAUAAACGUGGCCACGGUUCAGAGGGGCGUUGUUUACGAUAUUACAUCUGUAAUACCCGGUCAAGUGGGCAGCGUCCACCGGUGUUCCGUAAUCUCUUCCGUGCCAGGACUUCGUUCCUAGCCAGAUACAGCACGUCGAGCUACGGUAAUAGUGGUGGCCUCGUAAGUGCAUCGAGGAUAGUACACCGUGGUUUAAUACUUUCUCAAGUAUCUGCUGCAGUGUACGCUACCUAUGCGACGUAACGUUGGGCAUUAUAUUUUCAGCGUUAUCAGAAAGAGGAGAAUAAAAGAUAAGACGAGAAUUUAGGUUUGUUUGAUCAAAGUAUCGGUAUUCACGAGAAUGGACGAUUUGAUCUUUUGGAAAUUAAUAGAACGAUACGUAAGAUAACUUUGAUGAGGAUUGUAAAGUUAUAUUUUUUUUUAUUAUCAAUUAGAGAUUUAUUGAAUAUAUGAUUUUAAUAAUAAUUUUUAUAUAUAUAUAAAAAGUGAAAUAUUUACUGAAAACUUGAAAUAAAUUCUAGCAUAAUCUUAAAAUUCACAUUUUUCGAAAAUAUAUUUUUUUUAAGUUACAUAUAGAGUUUUUGUUCAAUGGUAAUUAAUUAAUUAAUAAGUUAUUUAUAAAACAGAAAAAAUGAUUUAAUUAUAUUUAAAAAUAUAAAAAUAUAGUAAUGACAAAGAAUUCUCGUUUUUUAGAUUUCAUUCGACGUUACGAAAGAAUAAUAUUAACUGUAAUAAAAAUUACUAGAUUCGAUUUCUUUUGUAACUGGCAAUUUACUGUUAAUUAAUACAGCGAUUUCAUCGAUACCAACUGUCCGCCUCAGAAGUUGGUAGCCGAAGGACAAACAUCGGUGUAGCUAGGGAGGACGAUGUUUUGAUUCUGGCUGUUAUAGGGAAGACAUAUAUCACUGGUCCACCCUAUUGCUAUAGAUGCUAGUAGUUAGGGUAGCGAUGUUGGGCCCGAAUGGACAUGCAGCGAUUUAUUGCUACGUCCGAUAUAUAUGAUUAUUUAAAUCUUUUUCAACUAUUAUGGUUUCCUGCACAUGAAUUUAUCUAUUCUUACACGUUUCAAAUAAUGCUAUUUAUUAUUUGACGAAUAAUAUAGGUCAAUUGUCAUUUGUCGAUCAAUUAAAAAAAUUUGAGAUGAAUAUUUGAGAAAAAUUUUUAAUUUAUUUUUUAAAGAUUAUUCGAAAAACAAUAUAUUUUUAAAACAUAAAUAUAUAUUAUUGAAAAUCACUUGUGAUGCAAAUGUUUGAAAAUUGAUUUUAUAAUUUGACCUAUUACUUGUUUUCAAUUUCUUAUUAAUUUUUAUUAAUGAAAAAUUAAUUUAUUUUUACUUCAAAUAUUGUUUUCACUAUAAUUUUUAUAAUGUCAGGACAAAAUUUACUUUGACGUGUAAAUUCCUCGCAUGAAAAGCAGAAAGGCGUGUAAACGUGGACACGAAGCGAUCUUGGAUGUUGGCUGGGAAGUCCAGUAACACGUUUCCGUUAUGGAGAUUGGUUCUGCUGACGGAAUACAAAGCACGCGUGUUGCACGGGAGUAUAGUAAUGGCGAAACUAAGGACACGAUCUCGAACCGCGUAUAUCUCGAACAGAUCCGUCUCGAGUUUAUUGAGAUUGACACUUGCCUUUAACCUUCACAUGUUAUUUAAAGACCUUCACAAGAUCUUUAAAUUGAAGCUUCACCUUUUGUUACUUGAUUUCGAUUAUUGAGCGAAUUUAUAUUCUUUGAGGUUAUGUAUAAAUUUAAAAAUUUCAAUUUAAUGUAUUCAUGAUAAAUAUUCAUUUUUUAUCCAA